GAGUUUGAUUAUGGCUCAGGAUGAACGCUGGCGGCGUGCUUAACACAUGCAAGUCGAACGAACGACUAUUAACAGAACCUUUCGGGGCGAAGAUGAUAGAAGUUAGUGGCGGACGGGUGCGUAACGCGUGGGUAAUCUGCCUUUGUCAAAGGAAUAACUAUUCGAAAGAAUAGCUAAAACCGUAUAACAUAUUAAUAGGGCAUCCUAAUAAUAUCAAAACGAUAGUGGACAAAGAUGAGCCCGCGUCUGAUUAGCUAGUUGGUGAGAUAAAAGCCCACCAAGGCAACGAUCAGUAGCCGACCUGAGAGGGUGAACGGCCACAUUGGAACUGAGACACGGUCCAAACUCCUACGGGAGGCAGCAGUGGGGAAUAUUGCACAAUGGGGGGAACCCUGAUGCAGCAACGCCGCGUGAGUGAAGAAGGCAUUCGUGUCGUAAAACUCUGUAGUAGGGGAAGAAAGAA
rnacentral:rRNA from 1 species